rnacentral:lncRNA from 1 species
UACCAGCUUGAGUCAGAACCAGGGUUUCCCUGAGAUUUGGGGGACUGUUGCUAAGUUGGGUUCACAUUCCAGGUCUGUCCCUCACAGCGUGGCCUUGUCAGGGGCCCUCCCUCCCUCCCGUAAGACACAUUUGGGGUGCCUCCCUUCUCCCUUUCCUCCUCCUCUGUCAGUGUGUCCCUGUGAGUGAACCCCAAUGAUACGCAGAAAUCCUGUAUUUCCUAAAGGCCCCUCAGCCCCCUGGGGAAAUCAGUUGAAGGAAAUGACAGCAGGCACGGGGUUUGCCUAGUGUCACCUGCAGCCACAUCCAGACCUCGCUCCAGGCCAGCGGAAAUGGUGCUCCACAGCUGAGCGGCAGCAUCACAGCCAACCAGCUGAUCAACUGUCCGCUUAGCCAUUGGACUGGCACCUCCUGUGUCAGUCCAUGCGGACUUGGCCUUGCGGACCCUUAGACACAUAGCUCGUGUGCCCGCUGGAGAUCCAGAAGGCACACCCAUGACGCAGUCAGCAAUCCCUUACACGGACUGAGUUUUCUGAGCUGGAAGUGGUGAUAGGGUAGUGGCAGCAAAGACACAGAGAGGGGUAUGUGACGUGGAAUAAAACAUAACCUAUCUUGAGGCCUCUGAUCCAAUUGCCGCGGGAGUAACGGCAGCAGCAGGCAAUUGCUGGAGGGCCACCCUGGAGCUGGAAUGGAUUUUCAGAGAUACCUCGAAUCAGGGCACAAGGGCUGAGUCUUUAUACGCCACGUGGACCAGUAUUACUAAUUGAUGUAGGAUGGCCCCACAAGGGAGGCAUCACCUGGUCAUAUUCCAGCCUUUAGAUUCUGAAAACAUGUUAAAGGAUGUGUUUGGCCAUUUGUAGUACAAAUGGGUUUGCAUACAGGCGCAAAGGGGCAAACCCAAAGCCCUCAGGGUCUGAUGCCCCAAGAAGGUUUCUUAUGAUUAUUGCCUUGAAGACGUUGUCUGUGGAUGACACUAGUACCCGCACUUCCUAGUAACAGGGCAUUUGUCUCAGCCAGAAGUGAGGGGACCAAGGGAAACACAGCAUGCCGGCAGGUAAGACGGAACCCCAGAGAGGAUGCCAGGGCUGGCGGUGGGGUGUGGAGGAGACCGC